GCGUCGGCAUGGGCCAGGUCAACCGGGUCGACUCCGCCAAGCUCGCCGUCGAGCGGGCGGGCGCCGAGCGGGCCGCCGGUUCGUACGCCGCCUCCGACGCG
rnacentral:tRNA from 3 species